GACGAACGCUGGCGGCGUGCUUAACACAUGCAAGUCGAACGGUGAACCUCUUCGGAGGGGCUCAGUGGCGAACGGGCGAGUAACACGUGGGCAACCUGCCCCCGGCUCUGGGAUAACUCCAAGAAAUUGGGGCUAAUACCGGAUGUUCACCGCUUCCCGCAUGGGUGGUGGUGAAAAGGGUUUCCGGCUGGGGAUGGGCCCGCGGCCUAUCAGCUUGUUGGUGGGGUAGUGGCCUACCAAGGCGACGACGGGUAGGCGGCAUGAGAGGGUGACCGGCGACAAGGGUACUGAGAGACGGCCCAGUGUCCUACGGUAGGCAGCAGGCGGGAAUAUUGCGCAAUGGGCGGAAGUCUGACGCAGCGACGUCGCGUGGGGGAUGACGGUCUUUGGGUUGUAAACCGCUUCCAGCAGGGACCAAGCUCAAGUGACGGUACCUGCAGAAGAAGCACCGGCUAACUACGUG
rnacentral:rRNA from 1 species